rnacentral:rRNA from 1 species
UACGUAGGGUGCAAGCGUUAUUCGGAAUCACUGGGCGUAAAGGGUGCGUAGGCGGGUCUUUAAGUCAGGGGUGAAAUCCUGGAGCUCAACUCCAGAACUGCCUUUGAUACUGGCGAUCUCGAGUUCGGGAGAGGUGAGUGGAACUGCGAGUGUAGAGGUGAAAUUCGUAGAUAUUCGCAAGAACACCAGUGGCGAAGGCGGCUCACUGGACCGGUACUGACGCUGAUGCGCGAAAGCUAGGGGAGCAAACAGG